GACGAACGCUGGCGGCGUGCUUAACACAUGCAAGUCGAACGGAAAGGCCCUGCCUUUGUGGGGUGCUCGAGUGGCGAACGGGUGAGUAACACGUGAGUAACCUGCCCUUGACUUUGGGAUAACUUCAGGAAACUGGGGCUAAUACCGGAUAGGAGCUCCUGCUGCAUGGUGGGGGUUGGAAAGUUUCGGCGGUUGGGGAUGGACUCGCGGCUUAUCAGCUUGUUGGUGGGGUAGUGGCUUACCAAGGCUUUGACGGGUAGCCGGCCUGAGAGGGUGACCGGCCACAUUGGGACUGAGAUACGGCCCAGACUCCUACGGGAGGCAGCAGUGGGGAAUAUUGCACAAUGGGCGGAAGCCUGAUGCAGCAACGCCGCGUGCGGGAUGACGGCCUUCGGGUUGUAAACCGCUUUCGCCUGUGACGAAGCGUGAGUGACGGUAAUGGGUAAAGAAGCACCGGCUAACUACGUGC
rnacentral:rRNA from 1 species